rnacentral:rRNA from 1 species
GACGAACGCUGGCGGCGUGCUUAACACAUGCAAGUCGAACGGAAAGGCCCUGCUUUUGUGGGGUGCUCGAGUGGCGAACGGGUGAGUAACACGUGAGUAACCUGCCCUUGACUUUGGGAUAACUUCAGGAAACUGGGGCUAAUACCGGAUAGGAGCUCCUGCUGCAUGGUGGGGGUUGGAAAGUUUCGGCGGUUGGGGAUGGACUCGCGGCUUAUCAGCUUGUUGGUGGGGUAGUGGCUUACCAAGGCUUUGACGGGUAGCCGGCCUGAGAGGGUGACCGGCCACAUUGGGACUGAGAUACGGCCCAGACUCCUACGGGAGGCAGCAGUGGGGAAUAUUGCACAAUGGGCGGAAGCCUGAUGCAGCAACGCCGCGUGCGGGAUGACGGCCUUCGGGUUGUAAACCGCUUUCGCCUGUGACGAAGCGUGAGUGACGGUAAUGGGUAAAGAAGCACCGGCUAACUACGUGCCAGCAGCCGCGGUGAUACGUAGGGUGCGAGCGUUGUCCGGAUUUAUUGGGCGUAAAGGGCUCGUAGGUGGUUGAUCGCGUCGGAAGUGUAAUCUUGGGGCUUAACCCUGAGCGUGCUUUCGAUACGGGUUGACUUGAGGAAGGUAGGGGAGAAUGGAAUUCCUGGUGGAGCGGUGGAAUGCGCAGAUAUCAGGAGGAACACCAGUGGCGAAGGCGGUUCUCUGGGCCUUUCCUGACGCUGAGGAGCGAAAGCGUGGGGAGCGAACAGGCUUAGAUACCCUGGUAGUCCACGCUGUAAACGGUGGGUACUAGGUGUGGGGUCCAUUCCACGGGUUCCGUGCCGUAGCUAACGCUUUAAGUACCCCGCCUGGGGAGUACGGCCGCAAGGCUAAAACUCAAAGGAAUUGGCGGGGCCCCGCACAAGCGGCGGAGCAUGCGGAUUAAUUCGAUGCAACGCGUAGAACCUUACCUGGGUUUGACAUGGAUCGGGAGUGCUCAGAGAUGGGUGUGCCUCUUUUGGGGUCGGUUCACAGGUGGUGCAUGGCUGUCGUCAGCUCGUGUCGUGAGAUGUUGGGUUAAGUCCCGCAACGAGCGCAACCCUUGUUCACUGUUGCCAGCACGUUAUGGUGGGGACUCAGUGGAGACCGCCGGGGUCAACUCGGAGGAAGGUGGGGAUGACGUCAAGUCAUCAUGCCCCUUAUGUCCAGGGCUUCACGCAUGCUACAAUGGCUGGUACAGAGAGUGGCGAGCCUGUGAGGGUGAGCGAAUCUCGGAAAGCCGGUCUCAGUUCGGAUUGGGGUCCGCAACUCGACCUCAUGAAGUCGGAGUCGCUAGUAAUCGCAGAUCAGCAACGCUGCGGUGAAUACGUUCCCGGG